UGGGGAAUUUUCCGCAAUGGGCGAAAGCCUGACGGAGCAACGCCGCGUGAGGGAGGAAGGCUCUUGGGUUGUAAACCUCUUUUCUCAGGGAAGAAACCUGACGGUACCUGAGGAAUAAGCAUCGGCUAACUCCGUGCCAGCAGCCGCGGUAAUACGGAGGAUGCAAGCGUUAUCCGGAAUCAUUGGGCGUAAAGCGUCCGCAGGUGGCUCCAUAAGUCUGUCGUCAAAAACGGAAGCUUAACUUCCGGUCGGCGGUGGAAACUGUGGAGCUAGAGUUCGGUAGGGGUAGCGGGAAUUCCCAGUGUAGCGGUGAAAUGCGUAGAGAUUGGGAAGAACAUCGGUGGCGAAGGCGCGCUACUGGGCCGAAACUGACACUGAGGGACGAAAGCUAGGGGAGCGA
rnacentral:rRNA from 1 species